rnacentral:rRNA from 1 species
GUGGGGAAUCUUGCGCAAUGGGCGAAAGCCUGACGCAGCCAUGCCGCGUGAAUGAUGAAGGUCUUAGGAUUGUAAAAUUCUUUCACCGGGGACGAUAAUGACGGUACCCGGAGAAGAAGCUCCGGCUAACUUCGUGCCAGCAGCCGCGGUAAUACGAAGGGGGCUAGCGUUGCUCGGAAUUACUGGGCGUAAAGGGCGCGUAGGCGGACAGCUUAGUCAGAGGUGAAAGCCGAGGGCUCAACCUUGGAAUUGCCUUUGAUACUGGCUGUCUUGAGUUUGGGAGAGGUGAGUGGAACUCCGAGUGUAGAGGUGAAAUUCGUAGAUAUUCGGAAGAACACCAGUGGCGAAGGCGACUCACUGGCCCAAUACUGACGCUGAGGCGCGAAAGCGUGGGGAGCAAACAGGAUUAGAAACCCUGGUAGUCC